rnacentral:rRNA from 1 species
UACGAAGGGGGCGAGCGUUGUUCGGAUUUACUGGGCGUAAAGGGCGCGCAGGCGGUUCUGUUUGUCGAGUGUGAAAGCCCCGGGCUCAACCUGGGAACUGCGCUCGAAACGGCGGAACUAGAGUUCGGGAGAGGAGAGUGGAACUCCCAGUGUAGAGGUGAAAUUCGUAGAUAUUCGCAAGAACACCAGUGGCGAAGGCGGCCUCA